rnacentral:rRNA from 1 species
UACAGAGGGUGCAAACGUUGUUCGGAUUUACUGGGCGUAAAGCGCGUGUAGGCGGCUUGGCAAGUCGGGUGUGAAAGCCCUGGGCUCAACCUAGGAAGUGCACUCGAAACUGCCUCGCUGGAGUCUCGGAGAGGAAAGCGGAAUUCUCGGUGUAGAGGUGAAAUUCGUAGAUAUCGAGAGGAACAUCGGUGGCGAAGGCGGCUUUCUGGACGACGACUGACGCUGAGACGCGAAAGCGUGGGGAGCAAACAGG